rnacentral:tRNA from 2 species
CCCGACUUAGCUCAGACUGGUUGAGAGCGGCUGACUGUAGAUCAGCAGGCCCCCGGUUCAAAUCCGGGAGUCGGGACCA